rnacentral:lncRNA from 1 species
GAACUUUCAAAUUCGGCUUAUCAGACUAAAUCGGAGCACCCAGACACUGUGUGGGAGAGAGAGAGUGCAACAUGUUUACGAGUUCGUGUGUGUGGUUGCUGGGCCCGAAAGAAAAGGAAAAAUAGACAGAAGCAACAAGAAAAGGCAACGCGGAAUGGAAAAAUAACACUGCUCGACAAAAUCAAACAUUUUUUUUCAGCUUCGAAGGAAACCAACUUGUUUGAAGAAUUUUUAAAUGGGUAUUGUUUCGUAACGGUAGCUCUUUAUUUUAGAGGUGGCGCUUCUUUUUUUAUCAUAACUGGAUCGAAGCGGAAAAAUCUUGUCGAGUAGUG